ACGGAAGGCAGCAGUGGGGGAUAUUGCACAAUGGGGGAAACCCUGAUGCAGCGACGCCGCGUGAGUGAUGAAGUAUUUCGGUAUGUAAAGCUCUAUCAGCAGGGAAGAAAAUGACGGUACCUGACUAAGAAGCACCGGCUAAAUACGUGCCAGCAGCCGCGGUAAUACGUAUGGUGCAAGCGUUAUCCGGAUUUACUGGGUGUAAAGGGAGCGCAGACGGCAUGGCAAGCCAGAUGUGAAAUGCGGGGGCUCAACCCCUGAACUGCAUUUGGAACUGUCAAGCUAGAGUAUCGGAGAGGUAAGUGGAAUUCCUAGUGUAGCGGUGAAAUGCGUAGAUAUUAGGAGGAACACCAGUGGCGAAGGCGGCUUGCUGGGCUUUUACUGACGCUGAGGCUCGAAAGUGUGGGGAGCAAACAGGAUUAGAUACCCUGGUA
rnacentral:rRNA from 1 species